rnacentral:lncRNA from 1 species
CUUUCUUUCACUUUGAAUGAAAGUAUCUGAAUGAGUCCAUUUUUAUUUUUCAUGCUAUUUUUGUUUUUUCCAGCAAUAAAAGUAUGUACAUUGACAUACAUACACUGUUAAUGUAAAGUAUAUACAUUAAUAGAAUAGCUUAAGAGACAUAAGAGUUUAGCUAGAGUUAAAACAUUUCUACCUUGAAGGAGAAUUUGGUCCUUCAAAUAGUAAUAUUGUUCAAAAACAUCUGGGAUUUUUGUUAAGAAGUAAGUGAAUUUACAGUGAAAAGCAUCUGAAACAAGCAAAAUGGUGUUAGACUGUAUGGAUAUUUCUGAUUAUUGGCUACAGGCAAUUUUUAAAUACUGUGUACUUUUAUAAACAACCGCUAGAUCUCCUCCCUACCCUGUCUUUCAUGUACUUGUGGGAGACCCUGAUGGAAGAGUGUGAUAACAUGAUGCAGACAAGCAUAUCCCAAUAGGAAGAAGGAAGGCUCAUAUACCUCCAUGUCAUCUUGAUAGAAAAUACAGCUCAUGUUCCACCAUAUUGCUAGAUAACAGCACAGCCAGCCAGCCUGAUCUUAGACAUACAUUAGAAAGUGUGGCUUUGGCAAUAUAUUAUAACAUAAAGCACAGCAUGUGGUUAGAGGACUGAAAAUAGAUACAGUUUAUUACCAUUGCCUGUUAGCGGGGGUCAAUAUUUAAAGGCAAGUCUGGCUCAUCAAUGUAGAAAAGACUUCACAGUUCACGACAUAAUGUGCUGAAGAAAAACAGGUCAAGAAACCCUCUGAAGGCCAGGAUCCAGGAGAAAAAUUUGCAAAAACUCUUUUGAUGAACAAAUUUUACUAAAGCAAACAAGAGGUAUCUCUCUCCACCCUCCAUGCCCUACUCCCAAGCAGAUAUUUUACUAAGAUAUUAACAAUUCCCGAAUUA